rnacentral:rRNA from 1 species
UACGUAGGGGGCAAGCGUUGUCCGGAUUUACUGGGCGUAAAGAGCGUGUAGGCGGCCACGCAGGUCCGUUGUGAAAACUGGAGGCUCAACCUCCAGCUGUCGACGGAAACCGUGUGGCUAGAGUCCGGAAGAGGAGAGUGGAAUUCCUGGUGUAGCGGUGAAAUGCGCAGAUAUCAGGAAGAACACCAAUGGCGAAGGCAGCUCUCUGGGACGGUACUGACGCUGAGGCGCGAAAGCGUGGGGAGCGAACAGG